rnacentral:lncRNA from 1 species
UUUCAUUAAAUUCUCAUUAAAAUGUUAUCUGUUUUUCAUUAAACGUGUAAAUGCGACAUUAAAUUGUAAAUGCGUUUAGCCGCUUCUGCAUCUUCCAAGUGCAUAAGGGUUUUUCCUUUUUUCUUCCAUCAUCUCGAGGAGUCACGUGAAAAUGUCAUUAUCAUAAGAUGCAGCGGCAUACCGGGCAAAUGAGUAAUUAUGAUGAUAUCGGUAUCUCAUACAUCUCUCUGUAUAUUCCCUGCAAACGAUAUCGCGUGCGUAGAAUACGCGAGCGAGGGAGCGAAUAAGAAUUACGAAUGUUGCAUAUAAAUCACUAUAAAUAACGAGAUAGUGAGAAAGGGCCUUCCCCAAGUUCAAAAGCGCGUAGUCGGAUACGUCAUUUUGUCAGCACGUGUGGAAUCCUAAAUCGAGGAAAUAAUCAUGAAAAGGCGGAACUCGCUGGAAUAUGAAAUCUUUUCAACUCGACUCGCUCACAGUCUCGUCAUACAAAAACAAUGUAGGACUUAGAAUCCAUUCUGUGAUUCAAAGAUUCAAUCUUUGAUCGAGAAUCUAAAGUGACAAUAAGAAUCUGUAAUGCAAAGUAUUGUAAAAUAGAUAAUGUUUUUAGAUACGUAAAUUUUUGAUAUUAGAGAUAUCAGAAAGUAUCAUUUUUAUAAAUAAGUAAACAUUAUGUACUUGUGUUAAUAUAAUUUAUUAUUUAUUCAAUGAUAUAUAAAAUCGCCAUUUAUUUUCUAUAAUAAUGAUUCAAUAUAUAUUAAUUUUUAUUUGCUUUCUUGAAAAAGCUAACAGACUUUGAUUUGAAAAAAUGUACAAGAUGAUUUGAACAUUUGUUUAAUUUUCUUACAAGGCUUUUCCUUGAAAGAAGGAAAUUUGAAAAAAAUGACAGUUCGAUGACGCGAAUAUUAAAUGAGAGAGCAUUUUCUAAAUUAUUUAAUCUUCCUUUAUCCUAAAUUGUUAUAUAUUUUUUGUUGCAUCUGUUUCAUAUCGAGCAUAUUAUGUUACAGAAUUAAAACCGGUUAGUUUUUUCUUCGAAAAAGAAAUUUAAAAAUUAAUAGAUGUACAACCAUAGAAAAUAAUGGCGAUUAUAUUAUUAAUAAAUAAUUAUAUUAUAAAUAAUAAAUUGUAUAUUAACAAAACUCUUAAUAUGUGUUACAUUAUUUGUUACUCGUAUUGGUUUCCCUCAUAUUUUUAAGAUAAAUGACUUUGAGAUGUCUGAAAGUAAAAAAUUAAUCAUAGAUUCUUCAUCAAAAGGCAAUGCGGAUAACCGCGCGUUUUUCUGAGCGGUAGGGCGAUAGGCCACUAGUAUAUAAAACGGCGGUAAGCAUCCAGCAUCUCUCAUUGCGGUAGUGCACUUGUUACAGUUGCUUGCGAUUAAGCAAAAGUGGCUUACUAUAAUAUCCAUGCUCUAGUACAAAUUACCAUUUUGCAGAAGUGAAGCUACGUGAUUUUAAUCAUCUUAUAUUUAAUUGAUACACUAAAAUUUUUUUACCUCAGUUGGAGAACAAAUGACGUUCACUUGAUGGUACUAUAAAUCCUAUACCACCACGAUUGCCAAAAACAUCGAGAGAAACUUACUGAUGUGAGAAAAAUCAUUACAAGACUGUUACAAGAUUAUGAUCAAAGUUUUCAGAAAAUACAAUUAAAAUGAAGUUAAUAAUUUUGCUGUUACUGCUGGUUAAUUCAAUUGUUUGUAUACCUUGGCUCGAUCUAUGGUUUCCUCAGCAGUUUCCGUACGAUCGAAAUACCGGAUAUUAUGCAAACGUACCAUAUCGUCAGAGCAGAGGAGGUGGUAAGGAACGCUGGAAGCAGAUUUGUAGGACUAUAAAUCCGGAUGCAUACGCGUUCCCAGGACGCGUGCCUUAUCCCGCCGCACCUGCCUGUCCUUGGUAAGGAAAACUUCCGAUUGUAUUUUCGAUCUGUUGUGCCAAACAAAGUCGAGCAAGAACGUGUAUCGUGCGUUAAAAAUAUGAAUUUAUUGUAACAACGUAGCUUAGACAAUGUACGUCCACCGGUUACGAGUAUUUCAGUCAAUUUAAUUGCGUGUACGUAUGUGUCUGCAUGUGACAAUACGAGCAAACUAGUAUACAUAACUAUUCGAUUACAUAUAGCUAUUUGCUAUAAAGUACAAAGAGAGGAGAACUGCCGCGUAUUGCAUCUUUCGUACGCAAACUUUAGUGCUCCUCACCCUUUGGUCCAUAUUCGCAUUAAAUUAAAUUAAAAAAACAAAAAGACUACAAAACUUAUAGUGUAAAAAAUAUUCUUUAUAAGAGUGAAAAAAUUGUAUGAUACAAAUAAUCAAAAAUAAAAUUCAAAAAAACAUUUUACAUAAAUUACUUUUUCAGUAGUCUAUGAUCAAAAAUGUUCCACUACAAAGUCACAUAUACAAGUUUUUCUUAUCGUUCAGUUUACCGUUAAGAUUUAAUUUAUAAUGCGCGUACGGACCCGCCAAACAUCUUCUAACUUAAAUACAGUUACUUCACAGGCUUAUCUAUCGAUCUGUACAACAUUGAUAUUCUAAGCCUGUUACAUCUGUCUAAGACAUCAAUAAUACUCUUUUUCUUUUUUCUCUUUUCUUAUGUAUAAAAAUAAGCUAUGUACAUUUUAUAUAUGUAUGUUACAUUAUAAUAUAAAUUUAUGUUAUAAUUCAAGUUUUUAAAAAAAUGCACGCCUUCACAGCGCAAUUGCAAUAAUUGGUAGUGUUAAAUAUUAUGUAUAUUACAUAUUCUAUGUAUAGUCCAGGAUCACAGAGUUCGUACAGCACAGCGGUGAUGUGUGUACGUCGAUGCUUGUAAUUCAAGAAAAUGAUAAAUAUAAUUUUUUACACGUUA